CCGCCGCCGUAACACAUGCAAGUCGAGCGAGAACCGGGGCUUCGUCCCCGGGGACAGCGGCGAACGGGUGAGUAACACGUGGAUAACCUGCCCUCGGCACCGGAAUAGCCCGGGGAAACCCGGAUUAAUGCCGGAUGGCCCCACAUCCCUGCGGGGAACGUGGGAAAAGGUAGCUUCGGCCUCUGGCCGAGGAUGGGUCCGCGGUGGAUUAGCUAGUUGGUGGGGUAAUGGCUCACCAAGGCGACGAUCCAUAGCUGGUCUGAGAGGACGAUCAGCCACACUGGGACUGAGACACGGCCCAGACUCCUACGGGAGGCAGCAGUGGGGAAUCUUGCGCAAUGGGCGAAAGCCUGACGCAGCGACGCCGCGUGCGGGAAGAAGGCCUUAGGGUUGUAAACCGCUUUCAGGAGGGACGAAGCCACUCGGGUGAACAGCCCAGAGGGUGACGGUACCUCCAGAAGAAGCCCCGGCUAACUACGUGCCAGCAGCCGCAGUAAUAC
rnacentral:rRNA from 1 species